rnacentral:rRNA from 1 species
UACGGGGGGGGCAAGCGUUGUUCGGAAUUACUGGGCGUAAAGGGCUCGUAGGCGGCCAACUAAGUCGGAUGUGAAAUCCCCAGGCUCAACCUGGGAACUGCAUCCGAUACUGGAUGGCUUGAAUUCAGGAGAGGGAUGCAGAAUUCCAGGUGUAGCGGUGAAAUGCGUAGAUAUCUGGAGGAAUACCGGUGGCGAAGGCGGCAUCCUGGACCGACAUUGACGCUGAGGAGCGAAAGCUAGGGGAGCAAACGGG